rnacentral:rRNA from 1 species
UACGUAGGGUCCGAGCGUUGUCCGGAAUUAUUGGGCGUAAAGGGCUCGUAGGCGGUUAGUCACGUCGGGAGUGAAAACUCAGGGCUCAACCCUGAGCGUGCUUCCGAUACGGGCUGACUAGAGGUAUGCAGGGGAGAACGGAAUUCCUGGUGUAGCGGUGGAAUGCGCAGAUAUCAGGAGGAACACCGGUGGCGAAGGCGGUUCUCUGGGCAUUACCUGACGCUGAGGAGCGAAAGCAUGGGGAGCAAACAGG